AGAAUCAUGAUGAUGCUGCAU
rnacentral:miRNA from 1 species